UACGGAGGAUGCAAGCGUUAUCCGGAUUUAUUGGGUUUAAAGGGUGCGCAGGUUGUUUGAUAAGUCAGUGGUGAAAGUCUGUCGCUUAACGGUAGGAUUGCCAUUGAUACUGUUGGACUUGAAUAUGGAUGAGGUAGGCGGAAUGUGUAGUGUAGCGGUGAAAUGCAUAGAUAUUACACAGAACACCGAUUGCGAAGGCAUCUCACAAAGCCGUUAUUGACGCUGAGGCACGAAAGUGUGGGGAUCAAACAGGA
rnacentral:rRNA from 1 species